rnacentral:lncRNA from 1 species
UGGAGGCGCCUUUGGCAUCCCGUGUUUGUGGAAUAUAAUGGGUGGCUGCCUCCCGUCACUUUGUUCUCCGUGGAAGGCGGCGCGGAAGGAUUUCGUGCCAGAAGGAAAGCGAUAAUUGGGGAUCCAGAAAGAUGCUGACAGAAAGACUGCUUCUGGAGAAAGGACCUCACUAGAUGGAAAAUACCUUUUUUUAUAAAUUAUGAAAUUGAUGCUUUAUGAAUUGUAGCCCAUCAUGUGCAAGAUCUGAAAUAGAUACAAACUGUGACUGAAGAAAUUGGAGCCUAUCCCCUUUAGUCAUGUGGAAAGCCAGAAAGAUAUAAAUCCAUCAUGUAAAAACCUAUCUUCAUAUCUCUUCAACUUCACCGAAGUUUUGAUCUAAGCUU